UACGUAGGUGGCAAGCGUUGUUCGGAAUUAUUGGGCGUAAAGGGCGCGUAGGCGGUUUGCUAAGUCAGUUGUGAAAGCCCGGGGCUCAACCCCGGAGGGUCGGCUGAUACUGGUGGACUAGAGUACGGAAGAGGUAGCUGGAAUUCCCGGUGUAGCGGUGAAAUGCGUAGAGAUCGGGAGGAAGGCCGGUGGCGAAGGCGGCGCUCUGGAACAUUUCUGACGCUGAGGCUCGAAAGCGUGGGGAGCAAACAGG
rnacentral:rRNA from 1 species